AUGACUAAUGAUGGAAGGGAGCAACCUGAUCCUGAUAUUCUGGUUAUGGAAAAUAGUGCUAAGAAUCCGGUGAGAUAUCCCUGUGAUAGUUUGUAUUUGAAGAAGAAUAAUAACUUUUGGGGUGAUGAAGAAAAUUUUCUUGAACCACAUCAGGAGGAAUUUACUUUGGUCAAGAAAAUGAGUCGGGGAAGGAAUAAACUUGCUUAA